rnacentral:rRNA from 1 species
ACCAGACUCCUACGGGAGGCAGCAGUGAGGAAUAUUGGUCAAUGGGCGGAAGCCUGAACCAGCCAAGUCGCGUGAGGGAAUAAGGCCCUACGGGUCGUAAACCUCUUUUGCCGGGGAGCAAGGGCGGGGACGUGUCCCGGCCCGGAGAGUACCCGGAGAAAAAGCAUCGGCUAACUCCGUGCCAGCAGCCGCGGUAAUACGGAGGAUGCGAGCGUUAUCCGGAUUUAUUGGGUUUAAAGGGUGCGUAGGCGGGCUUUUAAGUCAGGUGUGAAAACUCCGGGCUCAACCUGGAGACUGCCCUUGAAACUGGGUGUCUUGAGGGCAGGAGAGGAAAGUGGAAUUCCUAGUGUAGCGGUGAAAUGCGUAGAUAUUAGGAGGAACACCAGUGGCGAAGGCGACUUUCUGGACUGUACCUGACGCUGAGGCGCGAAAGCGUGGGUAGCGAACAGGAUUAGAUACCCCUGUAC